rnacentral:rRNA from 1 species
GACGUAGGGCGCGAGCGUUGUCCGGAUUUAUUGGGCGUAAAGAGCUCGUAGGCGGCUUGUCGCGUCGUCCGUGAAAACUUGGGGCUCAACCCCAAGCUUGCGGUCGAUACGGGCAGGCUCGAGUUCGGUAGGGGAGACUGGAAUUCCUGGUGGUAGCGGUGAAAUGCGCAGAUAUCAGGAGGAACACCGGUGGCGAAGGCGGGUCUCUGGGCCGAUACUGACGCUGAGGAGCGAAAGCGUGGGGAGCGAACAGG